AUUGAACGCUGGCGGCAGGCUUAACACAUGCAAGUCGAGCGGAGCGGCGGACGGGUGAGUAAUGCCUAGGUCUCUGCCUGGUCGUGGGGGAUAACGUUCGGUAAUGGGCGCUAUUACUGAUUACUAUCAGAUGAGCCUAGGCCCGAUUAGCUUGUUGGUGGGGUAAAGGCCUACCAAGGCGACGAACCGUAACUGGUCUGAGAGGAUGAUCAGUCACACUGGAACUGAGACACGGUCCAGACUCCUACGGGAGGCAGCAGUGGGGAAUAUUGGACAAUGGGCGAAAGCCUGAUCCAGCCAUGCCGCGUGUGUGAAGAAGGUCUUCGGAUUGUAAAGCACUUUAAGUUGGGAGGCGUUACCAGCAGAAUAAGCACCGGCUAACUUCGUGCCAGCAGCCGCGGUAAUUC
rnacentral:rRNA from 1 species